GGAGACGUGGCCGAGUGGUCGAAGGCGCUCCCCUGCUAAGGGAGUAACGGGCAACCGUUCGAGGGUUCGAAUCCCUUCGUCUCCGCCA
rnacentral:tRNA from 3 species